rnacentral:rRNA from 1 species
AUUGAACGCUGGCGGCAGGCCUAACACAUGCAAGUCGAGCGGCAGCGGGAAAGUAGCUUGCUACUUUUGCCGGCGAGCGGCGGACGGGUGAGUAAUGCCUGGGGAUCUGCCCAGUCGAGGGGGAUAACUACUGGAAACGGUAGCUAAUACCGCAUACGCCCUACGGGGGAAAGCAGGGGACCUUCGGGCCUUGCGCGAUUGGAUGAACCCAGGUGGGAUUAGCUAGUUGGUGAGGGAAUGGCUCACCAAGGCGACGGUCCCUAACUGGGCGGAGGGGUUGAGCCGCCACACUGCAACUGCGACACGGUCCGGACUCCUACGGGAUGCAGCAGUUGGGAAUAUUGCACAGUGGGGGAAGCCCUGAUGCAGCCAUGCCGCGUGUGUGAAGAAGGCCUUCGGGUUGUAAAGCACUUUCAGCGAGGAGGAAAGGGUGGUAGCUAAUAACUGCCAGCUGUGACGUUACUCGCAGAAGAAGCACCGGCUAACUCCGUGCCAGCCGCCGCCGUAAGAC